rnacentral:rRNA from 1 species
GAGUUUGAUCUUGGCUCAGAUUGAACGCUGGCGGCAUGCCUUACACAUGCAAGUCGAACGGCAGCACGGGAGCUUGCUCCUGGUGGCGAGUGGCGAACGGGUGAGUAAUGCAUCGGAACGUAUCCUGGAGUGGGGGAUAACGUAGCGAAAGUUACGCUAAUACCGCAUAUUCUGUGAGCAGGAAAGCGGGGGACCUUCGGGCCUCGCGCUCUUGGAGCGGCCGAUGUCGGAUUAGCUAGUUGGUGAGGUAAAGGCUCACCAAGGCGACGAUCCGUAGCAGGCCUGAGAGGAUGAUCUGCCACACUGGAACUGAGACACGGUCCAGACUCCUACGGGAGGCAGCAGUCGGGAAUUUUGGACAAUGGGGGCAACCCUGAUCCAGCCAUGCCGCGUGAGUGAAGAAGGCCU